ensembl:antisense Hoxaas3 Hoxa cluster antisense RNA 3
GAGUUGAGGAGGCUGAACUGAGAACAGGAUGCAAGAAGCCCUGUUGUCUCUACACCACAAGAAUUCCACACACGCAUCUAGCCCCUCUUCCAGGGCUCGAGAAAUCACUCUAACCAGAAAACCGGGCAAACGAAGCAGGCAACCAUCGGAGAACUCUGAAUUAGUCUCACCUUCAGACCGCGGCUCCCAGAAGCUUCUGCCUCUCUGACAGCUGUCGCUUCGGCAGCCCAAGAGACGAAUUGUCCUCCUUCCUGGUGCCAGAGGACGCAGGAAAUUAGCCAGGUUGCAAGUUGCAAAGCAGCGGCGGCUGCUCCAGGAACUGGACGCGCUCCACCUCCAGCGACAACCGCUGGCCUGGGCCUGGCAGCGGCUUCCCCUCGCUCGCCAUCGCCGGACAAAGCGCAGCCCAGGCAGGCUGGCAAGGCAGAGCUCCGAAGCACGCAGGAUGGAGCGGAGCAAAAGAAUGCGGCUCUAUUCUCGCAAGGGAAAUUAUAAAAAAGUUCAUGUUCACGGUUCCUAUCCACAUGACCGACAGCGGCCAAUGGAAGGGCCGAACAACUCAUAAAGUUGUAUUGCAAAGUUGUAAAUUUUCAUAAACAACAACGGAUUUAUGACCCUUUCCCCAUCACUAAGAGGAGGCGGCUCUUACACAGACGCCAUCUUACCACCGAGUCUGUCCCGAUUUGGGGCUGCAGGUUUUUCAGACCCUUUUAGGUCCGAUUUUAUUUAUAAAAAAAAAAGUCCUAAGAAACUGGCCCAGCCUAGUCAGGGGAUAAGAAUGGAGACCUUCGCGGGCCCAGCUCAGGAUGCUCUAAGCUACUUCCACCGCCUCUCGCCCCUGGUCUCUCACCGCUAGCCCCUUCCCCAGCCACAGUCCUUCCUCAGCAACAGGACUUGGACUAGGUUGCGCCGCAGGGUUUGAGGCCCAUGUCGUCCAAGAAUCCCUCAGCUGCAGUGUUGGACCCUGGGGCAUCCUCACCCUUACUGAAGGCUAAGUGGGGGUACUGCAGCAGGGACCCUGAAUUCCAUGUCUUUCCUACCCCUGGACUGUACUCAGGACGCAUGUGGAAUCCGGGAUCAAUUGGAGGGUAGGUAAUACCCUUUUAGAGCUCAGUCUACACCUUUAGAGGAAAGUUGAAUUUGGAAUUCGUUCAUGGAAUUUAUGAAAGUUUGAGAGGCCGUAGAUAGAAUAUGUAGCAUUAACAAAUAGUCUUUUUUCAAUGGAUCUAAAUAGAUAUUGGUGCACAUACAAUAGCCAGACAAAAACCAUCUACAAAGAGGAAGGCAUAUAUACAAUUAUAGUCACAGAAAAACACAGAAACCCACACACACAAUUAUAGACAUGAGAAAUGUUGAUGCACACGCAUGUGUGUGGGAAUGCAUACAAUUAUAACUAUAAGCAAGCACACAGAGAAAUAGAAAUGUGCUUAAGUACACAUAAAAACAUGUGAAAAGAGACAUGAUACAUUUGUCCAUGAAUAGCUAAAAUUUGGACUCAGGGACAGUGGCUCUGCAUUUGUUUCCCGUGUCUCUUUGGCCUACAGCCAGGGCUGGUCCUUCAGCUAUGGCCACUUCCCCUUGCCCAAGACCCUCUGGAUAAAGCAGUCCGUGUUUCUUUGUCACCAAGCAUCUUUAUUGUUACAUAAAACACAGGUAGCUGGGCUGGGAAGCGUGCCUUCUCUGAACCCCAGGCUGGGGGGUGGGACGGGACAUGAGGAGACAAGGGAGAUGAUGGCCCCGGUGGGUGCUGGACUUCCCCCACCCACUACAGAAUUAGUUCAAUACAACACACCAUGCUACAAAGUCACCCCAUUAAAACAUCCUUCCAAAGUCAAGACAUUCCUUUACAAAUGAGCUCCAAGAUUAUAGAAAUGACAACAACACAAAAAAAAUCUGGUUCAAAUAUACAGUAUUUGUCCUUGUAGGAAAAGUCAGGGUAUACAUAUUUGACAUGGCUGAACAGUAGGACACAAAAGCAAGGGGGAGAGGACAGUGAGUCUGGGAACAUCUCCUUAGUCCCACAAAAACAAAACCCAGAGCUAUUCCAGAGGAUGGCAGCCAGCUCGGGAAUGCUCCCCUCCUGAAGUAGGGUUAAUGGCCCUGACCUUGUGUCAAAGCCAGAGAAAGAGGGAUUCUAGGUUACAGCACUUGGUAUGCUUUGGAAUAAAUAUAUUAUUUUUCAAUUUAAAUAGAAGCC